rnacentral:rRNA from 1 species
AGCAGUAGCCACGGGAAUACGUAGGGUGCAAGCGUUAAUCGGAAUUACUGGGCGUAAAGCGUGCGCAGGCGGUUUGUUAAGACAGAUGUGAAAUCCCCGGGCUCAACCUGGGAACUGCAUUUGUGACUGGCAAGCUAGAGUGUGGCAGAGGGGGGUGGAAUUCCGCGUGUAGCAGUGAAAUGCGUAGAUAUGCGGAGGAACACCGAUGGCGAAGGCAGCCCCCUGGGCCAACACUGACGCUCAUGCACGAAAGCGUGGGGAGCAAACAGGAUUAGAUACCCGAGUAGUCCCUGUCUCUUAUAC